rnacentral:lncRNA from 1 species
AGCUUCAGGUGUUUGUUUGACAACAACAAGCGUGUGUUGACAGCCGGCAAAACAAAACACGUGCAGUUUGUUUUAAACACAUGAUUUACAGAUGACAGCUCAGCGACAGACUCUUAAUGUGUUUAAACAGCACAUAUUAAAGCUCAGCAGCAAAUUAAAGCUGCAGACUCUGUGAUAAAGUGCAGGAAUCAAGUGAAGAGACUCACCUGAUGAAGGAUGUGUUUGGAGUGAACAGAAGCAGAGCUCUGGGACAUUUGGACAGCCGUGGACUGUAAUGGUGGACUUCUGCUGAUGGACAGGUUGGAGGUUAACUCUGGAAAGUGGAUCUUCAGGAUCAGGAUUAAACAACAGCUUUAGAAAAAAAGUCUGCAUUUGUUCUUCAGUUUUCAUGUGUUGAUGCAGAACCACUCUUUGUCCACAAGAUGGAGCUAAAACACUGCUCUGAUCUCAUGCGCCUCUAAAUAAAUCCGCCAUUAAACACCAAUAAAUAUUUAGUAGUCAACAUAUUAAAUUAAUUGAUAGGAAUUUACAUUUUAAACCAGAUUUUAUUUGUUCAGACAUGCUGUAUGCACAGUCAAAAUCGUCUAUAAAUGCUGCUUGCAUUUGCUAACAGUGAUAUAAAAACUAAAUAAAUAUUUACAAUAAGUCAACAUCACUUAAAAAAAGAAGCAAAAUAAAUAAAGUUGACACAGAGACAGAC